CUCUCCAAAGAAGAUGGAGAAACUUCAAACACUUCUGUGCUAUUUUAGAAGUGUAACUGAGCAAGGACAUACUGGACUGAAAGAUAAACUUUGGAUCAUCCUCCAAAUUGGAAAAAGCUGUGCCACUGAUGGGCUGACAGCUGAUGGGUGCACAUGACCAGAUCCAGUUGGGGCCGGGGCACCCUGCCUGCCGUUGGAGUGACUGAGCCUCUGGUGGACUUUGGCAAACUGUUUGUGGGCGGAGGGGUCAUUUGCUUCCUGAUCAACCCAGAAGUCAUCAUCUCCCGCCUCUUCACUGGAGCCCUGGAACACAACGAGUGUCUCAUUAUCACAG